AUUUCAUUUCAUUUUGUGUCAUUCUGUAGAAAAGAACAUUUGAUGAUAGAUUUUGUGUUUUAUAAAUUAUUGUGUGAAAAUUUGUUUUCUGAAAAAAUUGCAAUUUGUUUAAAUGUCGAGACGAUUAAAUUUGGGUCGGCGAACGCGAAAAUCAUUUCAAGUUGUGGCUUCAAGGAGCCGUGAAAGUAGCCAAGACAUUCCACAUCGCAAUGAAAAUAGUCGUCUACGCACAGCAAGGUCCCGUUCAAAUCAACGGAACAAUGAUGCAACAACAACUGCAAAUGAACGUCUUGAUAUUCAAAAUAUACAAAGUGUUGCGUUCGCGUACAGUAGUGUCACCGAUUACGCUACUCAUAGGCAAAUUAUUAUUGGUCCAAUGAACGACCGUUGUCGCCAUUGUCAGGCCUUUAAAAUUUAAAGGUGAAGCAGAUGGGAUAUGCUGUGCGAGUGGUAAAGUGAAAUUGCCUGAAUUAGGCAGCUCACCACAACCAUUGAGCACAUUACAUAAUGGAUUGACACCUGAGUCUAAUCAUUUUUUGAACAAUAUACGAGUGUAUAAUUCGAGUUUUGAAAUGACAUCUUUUGGCGCCAAAAAUAUUAUAAGAGACAACUUUAUGCCAACGUUCAAUAUUCAAGGUCAAAUAUACCAUCGAGCUGGCUCUUUGUUACCUUUCGACAACGCAGACCACCAAUUUUUGCAAUUAUAUUUUAUCGGGAACGCGGAAGGCGAAGCUGAUCGUCGGUGUGCCAUUAUUACUAACAUGCGGAGACACAUUAUUUUCGAUUUGCAAAAUAUGUUCCAUGAGCACAACGAAUUGGUUCAGGUUUUCAAAACAUCGCUUGAUCGAAUGCCAUCUGACGAUCAUAAAAUUGUUAUCGAGCUGAUAAAACACCGGUUGGCGAACAUGCAAGGCGUUUCAAUGCACAAACAGUUGACGAAGUGGCAAUAGUCAUUGUUGGUGAGCAAUUUAAUAAUCGUGAUAUUGUGCUUCAUCGUAGAAAUGAACAACUUGAACGUGUAUCCGAGACUCAUCGCUGUUAUGAUGCACUACAAUAUCCCAUAUUGUUUUGGAGCGGACAAGAUGGCUAUAAUUUCAACAUUAAAACGAUAAAUCCAGUAAACGGUCGAGAAGGAACAAAGAAAGUUAGUGCUAUGAAUUAUUACGCAUACAGGCUGCAGAUACAGCAAAAUCAAGACAACCACAUAUUGAGGUGUAGAGCACUUUUCCACCAGUAUAUUGUUGACAUGUAUGCAAAAAUUGAAUCGGAACGGUUAAAUUUUCUUCGAUUCAACCAAGCCAAAUUACGUUCCGAAGAGUAUGUUCAUUUGCGUGAUGCCAUUAAUAUGCCAUUAUUACCGUCAUCGUAUGUUGAAAGUCCACGUCAUAUGUUUGAGUACGCGCAAGAUGCGAUGUCAUACGUUCGCCGUUACGGUCGACCAGACCUCUUCAUCACCUUCACGUGUAAUCCGCAAUGGGAAGAAAUCUCGGAAUUAUUGUUUGUUGGCCAAACAUCGAAAGAUAGCCAUGAUAUUUUAGCACGUGUUUUUAGACAAAAAUUGAAAUCACUCAUGGAUUUAAUUGUCAAACACGGUGCAUUUGGGUCUGUUCAAUGUUGGAUGUAUUCAAUUGAAUGGCAGAAAUGAGGUUUGCCUCAUGCGCAUAUUUUAAUUUGGCUCAUUGAAAAAAUAAGGCUGAAUCAAAUUGACGAUGUGAUUUCGGCAGAAAUUCCAGAUCCGACAGUGGAUCCUGAAUUGUUUGAAGUGGUCACCAAAAAUAUGAUUCACGGUCCAUGUGGUGCGUUGAAUUUGAAUUCACCCUGUAUGGUUGAAGGGAAAUGCUCCAAACGUU